rnacentral:rRNA from 1 species
UAAGGAAUAUUGGUCAAUGAGCGAGAGCCUGAACCAGCCAAGUAGCGUGCAGGAUGACGGCCCUAUGGGUUGUAAACUGCUUUUGUAUGGGGAUAAAGUCAGUCACGUGUGAUUGUUUGCAGGUACCAUACGAAUAAGGACCGGCUAAUUCCGUGCCAGCAGCCGCGGUAAUACGGAAGGUCCGGGCGUUAUCCGGAUUUAUUGGGUUUAAAGGGAGCGUAGGCUGGAGAUUAAGUGUGUUGUGAAAUGUAGACGCUCAACGUCUGACUUGCAGCGCAUACUGGUUUCCUUGAGUACGCACAACGUUGGCGGAAUUCGUCGUGUAGCGGUGAAAUGCUUAGAUAUGACGAAGAACUCCGAUUGCGAAGGCAGCUGACGGGAGCGCAACUGACGCUGAAGCUCGAAGGUGCGGGUAUCGAACAGGAUUAGAUACCCUGGUAGUCCGCACAGUAAACGAUGGAUGCCCGCUGUUGGUACCUGGUAUCAGCGGCUAAGCGAAAGCAUUAAGCAUCCCACCUGGGGAGUACGCCGGCAACGGUG